rnacentral:rRNA from 1 species
GACGAACGCUGGCGGCGUGCCUAAUACAUGCAAGUAGAACGCUGAAGGAGGAGCUUGCUCUUCUGGAUGAGUUGCGAACGGGUGAGUAACGCGUAGGUAACCUGCCUGGUAGCGGGGGAUAACUAUUGGAAACGAUAGCUAAUACCGCAUAACAGUAGAUGUUGCAUGACAUUUGCUUAAAAGGUGCAAUUGCACCACUACCAGAUGGACCUGCGUUGUAUUAGCUAGUUGGUGGGGUAACGGCUCACCAAGGCGACGAUACAUAGCCGACCUGAGAGGGGGAUCGGCCACACUGGGACUGAGACACGGCCCAGACUCCUACGGGAGGCAGCAGUAGGGAAUCUUCGGCAAUGGACGGAAGUCUGACCGAGCAACGCCGCGUGAGUGAAGAAGGUUUUCGGAUCGUAAAGCUCUGUUGUAAGAGAAGAACGAGUGUGAGAGUGGAAAGUUCACACUGUGACGGUAUCUUACCAGAAAGAGACGGCUAACUACGUG